rnacentral:rRNA from 1 species
UACGUACCGUCCAAACGUUAUUCGGAAUUACUGGGCUUAAAGGGUUUGUAGGCGGCGCUGUUAGUCGGGUGUGAAAUCCCAGGGCUCAACCCUGGAACUGCGCCCGAUACUGCAGUGCUUGAGGGAGACAGAGGUAAGCGGAACUGAUGGUGGAGCGGUGAAAUGCGUUGAUAUCAUCAGGAACACCGGUGGCGAAGGCGGCAUCCUGGACCGACACUGACGCUGAGGAGCGAAAGCCAGGGGAGCAAACGGG